rnacentral:rRNA from 1 species
UCUCAGAUGAGCCUAGGUCGGAUUAGCUAGUUGGUGAGGUAAUGGCUCACCAAGGCGACGAUCCGUAACUGGUCUGAGAGGAUGAUCAGUCACACUGGAACUGAGACACGGUCCAGACUCCUACGGGAGGCAGCAGUGGGGAAUAUUGGACAAUGGGCGAAAGCCUGAUCCAGCCAUGCCGCGUGUGUGAAGAAGGUCUUCGGAUUGUAAAGCACUUUAAGUUGGGAGGAAGGGCAUUAACCUAAUACGUUAGUGUUUUGACGUUACCGACAGAAUAAGCACCGGCUAACUCUGUGCCAGCAGCCGCGGUAAUACAGAGGGUGCAAGCGUUAAUCGGAAUUACUGGGCGUAAAGCGCGCGUAGGUGGUUUGUUAAGUUGGAUGUGAAAGCCCCGGGCUCAACCUGGGAACUGCAUUCAAAACUGACAAGCUAGAGUAUGGUAGAGGGUGGUGGAAUUUCCUGUGUAGCGGUGAAAUGCGUAGAUAUAAGAAGGAACACCAGUAGC